UAAUAAGUGUUUUAUGGCACUUUUUAAAUCCACAUCCACCUUGUGUGCAAUGUCAGUCGAUCUUCUUCAUGGAGAUCGACCAAACAUCAACCUUUAUCUUUUAACUCUUUGUCUUAAAAAUAUUAUGAAUAAACAAUUCAAAAUA
rnacentral:misc_RNA from 1 species